GCUGUUUCCAGUGUCAGCACCAAUGCUGAGGGACUGACUGCCUCUUAUACAGCUGUUUCCAGUGUCAACACCAAUGCUGAGGGACUGACUGCCUCUUCUUCUAUCUCUACUUAUUAACCUUUAUAUUGAAAUGAUCAAGACUGGUUAGUGAAACGUCUUAACAAAGCCAGAUGUUUCAUUUGUUUGAUUCAUCACCUCUCAGGGGUAUUAAAGCCUGUGAGGAGCUCUUGAUCCAAGGAGCUGGACUUAUCUUUCCCUUCCUUCAGAAGGAUAAGUCUCCAAUAAGAACACGUCUCCAAUCUAGAUCUAAUGAUCAUACUGUCACCUAAAUAUAAAUGAGUCUUUUUUGUUAUUGCAUUUAUGGCUUAUAAAUUUUAAUGAAAUUAGUUAAGUAUCAUUUACUGUAAAAGAACCAGAGAUAACUUGUUCUUAUUCCAUAUUUCAACGUUUCAGAGCGGUUUUGGACAUUUUCUGACUUCUAUUUGACUUCUAUUUCUGACUUUUUUGGGUUAUCCCAGGUUCUCUACGCUUAUGCUGCUAUGUAUGAUAAUCUAUGUAACUGUAUUUGUGUACCUGAAUAAACUUGCUGACUUAUUUGAAAAAGUUAAGAAUAAAGAAUACAGUGGACCCCCGCCUAACGAUAUUUCAAUCCAGAAGUCUGUUUUGGUGCCUUUAUAGACCGAAUUUGUUCCCAUAAGGAAUAUUGUGAAUUAGAUUAGUCCGUUUCAGACCCCCAAAAAUACACCUACGAAAACACUUACAAAAAUACACUUACAUAAUUGGUCAAGUUGGGAGCUGAUCGUUAGGCGGGGGUCCACUGUACAACGUUACCUGCGUUCAGUACAGCUAUUGAAAAGAUUCUUCAAAAGUGAAUUGAGACUAUAUAUAUAGAGGUGUACUCGCCUAUUUGUACUCGCCUAUUUAUAAAUGAAGGAGUUGAGUCUCAGCUCUUGGCCCUGCCUCUCAACUUGCCGCUUUCCAGAUUCAUUCCUAGCCUCGUGGGCCAAGUCGUACCUAUUCUUAAAACUGAUAUUUUAGACCAUUUCCACAUUAACUUAUGUAUGGAGCCUGCCUCUACCACUAGGAUCAUCUAGGUUUUUCCAUUUCCCGACUACUCAGACUGAAGAAAUACUUUCUGACAUCGAAGUGGCAUACCUGUAUAUCUCAUUGUACAUUUACCCAGAGUUUAAUACAAGUAAGGUAUCCAUACCCCUAGCCUACAUUAUUUCAUAUUUUGGUUCAAGUUCUGCAGCCAGUCACAGAGAACUUAAUUAAACAGAAAUACCCCAGUUCCAAGCAGAUUAAGUUUAUUUAGGUACAGUUACACAUAAGUACAAUUAUCAUACUUAGUAAUAUGUGUGUAAAUUACAAGGGUAACCCAAAAAGUAAGACAAAGUAAGUUUAUUUAGAGACACACAAUAUUUGAUUGUUUGCAGUUGCCUUACCAAUGAUAACCCAAGAAAAGUCAAAGUGAAUUAUUAUUAUCUUAUUUCUGUUGUACAGGAACCUGUGAAGAAAAACCCUCCAGAUAAUGGACAUUUUAAUUAGGUUAAAUCAGAGAGGAACCUAAGCUGCUACUUCACCCAGCACAGUUUAGGAAGCACCGGUUUAGUAGUGAAACUAUAGAUGAAUGGAACAACUGACGAGUUGAAAGUUAUUUUAGAUUGGAAUUGAAUGAAAUACAUAACAAUAGUCUCCUCAAGAAAGUUUCCUUGUUGCUGUUCAGGGGCUCUUGAUCUAUGGAAUUGGAUCUGUGCUCCAGUUCCCUGAAUUAAGCCUGAAUACCUUUCACAUCUCCCCACAGGUAAACCAAUAAUGACUUCACUUGAUGAACCUCUGCUUGGAGGCCAUUGGGGUUUGCUGAGCUACCAUAUGACCAAUAGUAAAGUUGAGAUAGUAGAGCUGGUGUCUGCCUUAGUACACGUGAACAUCCAUGGGUUUGUAGCACAAGUGAGUGCUAAAUUAAGGUACCACAACCCUGGUGACAGCACUCUCAUGGUAAGGACUGCAUACUCCUUAAGUUAAAUACUAUAAACCAGUAACUUUGUAAGUGCACUAUAUUACUUAAAUACUACAUUUAUCUUUAAAAGUUCACAAAUAUCCAUACAUGUACUUGUCAGAACCCAGCUCAUGAUUAUUAGACUGAGGAUCGAACCUCCACUUAUUGCACUAAAUAGCCCAUAUGGGUUUAGUGUUUACUUGAACUGAUGAACUAUUUAAUGUCAGAGGGUGUAAUGUAUCUUGGCCAGAUAACUUUAUACCAUAACAUAUAUGAAGCCUCAUCCCAACUGUCUUGAUGCCAGUAAAUGAUUUUUUAUCUAAGGAAAUGGAGUUACCCUAUCUUUCAUUGAAUCAAACCUUGUUACCUCCCGUUCCCCAGAGUCUGUAUGACCCAUCUGAGUUUAGCCUUCCCCAAGAUAAUGAUAGUCUACAAUGCCCAGAUACUAGACAAUGAGCUGGGUGAUCUUAUUUUUUAAUGGCUGGCCCAGAGAGUUUUUAAAAAACCAGUUGGUCUGUCAUUUUAAUUGUAUUGUUUUGUGGACAUUUUUCAAAAAUAGGUGAGGAUUAGUUCAAUUAGUUUAUGCAUCUGCCUUGGGAUUAAAUUUCACAUGUAGUGUACAUAUAUGAUGCUGAGGAAAGUACCAGUACUGAAAUAUAUUCUUUCACUGGUUUUAAUAACUUUAAAAAAAAAAUUUCAACACAUCGGCUGUCUCCUGCCAAGGCAGGGUGACCCAAAAAAGAAGGAAACACUUUCACCAUCAUUCACGCAUAAUCACUGUCUUUGAAGAGGUGCUCAGAUAUGACAGUUUAGACACCACUCCAAACAGUCAGUAUCCCAAACCCCUCCUUUAAAGUGUAGGCAUUAUACUUCAAACCUCAAGUCCGGCUAACCGGUUUCCCUGAAUCCCUUCACAAAAUAUUACCCUGUUCACACUCCAACAGCUCGUCAGGUCCCAAAAGCCAUUCAUCUCCAUUCACUUAAAUUGUAAAUUUAACUCGUACAUUUUUUCCAACAUUCAUGGUUACUUUGAGCACUCACCCCUC